GAACUGUCCUCUCAAAAUGAACAGUAUGUGGAUGAGGAGGUUGGGCACCGGUCCUGUCUGGCUUUAAUCCCUUGGUCUGGACCCUUGUGUGUUCCUAUCUUUCCUGUCUUCUCCAAGGCCAAACCAGUCUACUACCUCACUCGUGCUGGGAGAAUGCUGGUAACAGAGCUUGCAGUGUUAAACACACAGACUUCCAAAUUGGUUAUUGAGGAGCCUACCAUUCACCUCACUGAAGCUGGGAGGCUAGUGCUUGACGAACUGUCAGCACAUUCAGAUAGCCAUUCACAGGUAGUCAAUCACAUUAUUAGACAGUCAUAGCUGAUUAGUAAUAGUACACAUUACCAUGUCCUCUAUCUCCACAAUUGUGUGUCUUAUUAAUCACAGAGCAAUCUCUAUAAUUAGGGGAUGUCUUUGUUUUUCAGCCAAAUAGGGAAGACUGGUUUUCCCUAUGAGAAGUUGCAGCUGGUUGGGAACUGGGGUUCGUUUCAUUUCCAUUACUGGAAGAUCCAUUAUGGACGAGUGCAGGUACUUCAGACAUAUUCUUAACAUUUAUGCCCCAAUAUGUCUCUGUCAAAAAAGAGAAAAGUGGACGC